AGGGUUUGAUCCUGGCUCAGAGCGAACGCUGGCGGCGUGGCUUAGGCAUGCAAGUCGAACGAGAACGUCCCCUUCGGGGGGCUAGUAGAGUGGCGAAAGGGUGAGUAAUGUAUCGAUAACCUACCUCCAAGAUGGGGAUAACGGCUCGAAAGGGCUGCUAAUACCCAAUAGCUCUAGAUCGAAGUAUUCAGUCUAGAUAAGGGCGGGGAUCCUUCGGGACCUGCCGCUUGGAGAGGGGUCGAUGCCCUAUCAGCUUGUUGGCGGGGUAAUGGCCCACCAAGGCUUUGACGGGUAGCCGGACUGAGAGGUUGGCCGGUCACACUGGGACUGAGACACUGCCCAGACUCCUACGGGAGGCUGCAGUCGAGAAUCUUCCGCAAUGGGCGAAAGCCUGACGGAGCGACGCCGCGUGCAGGAUGAAGGCCUUCGGGUUGUAAACUGCUGUCACACGUUAGGAAAAGCCAUGCGUUAAUAGCGUGUUGUUUUGACAAAGGCAUGAGAGGAAGUCACGGCUAACUUCGUGCCAGCAGCCGCGGUAAGACGAAGGUGGCAAGCGUUGCUCGGAAUUACUGGGCAUAAAGAGCGCGUAGGUGGCUCGGUAAGUCGGUAGUGAAAUCCUAUGGCUCAACCAUAGAACUGCUGUCGAUACUGCCGGACUUGAGGACAGGAGGGGAGAGUGAACUCCAGGUGUAGCGGUGAAAUGCGUAGAUAUCUGGAGGAACGCCGGUGGCGAAAGCGACUCUCUGGACUGUUCCUGACACUGAGGCGCGAAAGCUAGGGGAGCAAACAGGAUUAGAUACCCUGGUAGUCCUAGCUGUAAACGAUGGGCACUGGGUAGAGGGUGUUUCGACACAUUCUCUUCCGGAGCUAAUGUGUUAAGUGCCCUGCCUGGGGAGUACGGUCGCAAGGCUAAAACUCAAAGGAAUUGACGGGGGCUCACACAAGCGGUGGAGCAUGUUGCUUAAUUCGAAGCAACGCGAAGAACCUUACCCGGGCUUGAAGUGCUGGAAUUAGCUGCCUGAAAGGGUAGUGACGCCUUCGGGUGGAAUCAGCAUAGGUGUUGCAUGGCUGUCGUCAGCUCGUGUCGUGAGAUGUCGGGUUAAGUCCCUGAACGAGCGAAACCCUUGUCCUUAGUUGCCAGCAUGUAAAGGUGGGGACUCUAGGGAGACUGCCGUUGUUAAAACGGAGGAAGGUGGGGACGACGUCAAGUCAUCAUGGCCUUUAUGUCCGGGGCUGCAAACGUGCUACAAUGGCCGGUACAAAGGGAAGCGAUAUCGCGAGGUUGAGCAAAUCCCAUAAAGCCGGUCUCAGUCCGGAUUGGAGGCUGCAACUCGCCUCCAUGAAGUCGGAAUCGCUAGUAAUCGCGGAUCAGCUACGCCGCGGUGAAUAUGUUCCUGAGCCUUGUACACACCGCCCGUCAAGCCACGAAAGCUGGCAGUGCCUGAAGUCGUGAUCCCAACCCUCCUUUCAUUAGGCGGGAGGGAAGCGCCCACGGUAAGGCCAGUGAUUGGGACUAAGUC
rnacentral:rRNA from 1 species